GAAAAAAGCAUCUAGUUAAUAUAAAGUGUUCUCAUAAGGUACACAUAACAAAUCCAUCGACAAUAAGUUAGUUUUUUUGUGAACACUACAAUACGUUAGUUAAUAAUUUAAUAUAUAAUGUAUCUCGACCAUUAAUUACAACUUCAAUAAGAUGAACUCCCAUCUGUACAAUACACCCAUUUAUACGUUUAAAUCGACAUAAGAUUGUCUGCUGAACUCAUCCAAACAAUUCUAAUAACUCUUUUUCUUCACCAAAUAUGUUUUACCUGCAAUAUGAGAGUUGAAGAUUGAAUUUAUUAUUCUUUAUAUAUGUUUUAUGCAUUAAUCACUACAUAUUCUAUGCAAACAUUGUGAUGUUUCUCUAAUCACAUACAACGAUUCUAUUUAGUAAAAACACCCCUCCACUCAUUCCUUGAAAUCAUAACAAACGAUUCUAUAAAAGAUAUUGGGCCUCAACAACUUGGCCCAUGAAGUUGAGUAUAACUUAGGAAGCCUUUGAUCUAAUCUACACUUUGAUCAAAAGAAAUUCUAAUCUACCCUUUGGUUCUUUGUUGUUUCUCUGCAAUCGUUUUGCUUAAACCCUUACCGGAAAUAGAGCCACAGACGACGAAGGGAACAGUGAUGCCUCUAGCUUCGUUGUUCUCAGAGGAGGAGGCACGCAAAGCAGCAACUUACGUGCUGGAGAAAAUCAGAGAGAAGAGGGAAGAAAUGAACUGUCUUCAACAUUUCGUGGACGAAAACGACAAUCUCAUCAAUCUCGUCACGAAGCUUUCGGAUCAGCUCCGCCACAACGUUAUGGCGAGUUUUAAUCCAUUAAAACAACCUUAUCCUUAGAGUCUAAUUGCGUACACACGAUUGAUGAAACGCACCAACGAGUGGUUGGUGAGUUUCGUUACAGUUGAUUAUAUAUAUAUAGAGUUAGGUUUCCCUACUAUGCGUUUAGGAGUUCACCAGCUUUUUAGGUGUUUUUGGGAGAGAAUUACUAUACUGACAGAACAUCCAAAGAGACAAGACUUUACAGUCCCAGAUUCAUUCUCUCAAAGCUGAGAUUGAAGAUUUUCAAUCGGAGGCUUCCUUCUUCGCUACAACUGCUUCAGAAGCAGCAGUAUAUUUGUUUCAAAUGUGUGGAUGAUGUGUUUGCUUGCAUAGGGAUCUUAAGUGGUGUUUCUUUUAUAGGAAGGACUUCUUGAGAUAAGAGAAGAGUAUGAAGAAGAAGAUUCUUCUGCAACUGUGCUUCAGCCUUCUGGUUUUAAUCCUGGAGGUGAGGGAGAGGCGGGAGAAGGUGAAGUUGAAGUUGAAGAGAAUGAAUUUGCUCGAAUCAUGUCCAAGUUGAAUGAACUUGAAAUGCAAGAAGAACUGGAGGGUGAGGAUGGGGAUGAUUAUAAAGGUGAAGACCAAUACUCUUCUGGGGAAAGUGUGGAGGAGAGUGAGCACGUUAUGGUGUUUGAUCUUAGAGAUAAAUCAAACCACAAUAGGAUUGGUGAUGAGGAAUCUGCUGCGAAACAAGAAUCUACCAUAUCUGUUCUUGAGAAGGUGUCUGUCUGGCCAUAGUUCUUCUGUUGGUGAACCGAUAAGAUAUUCAGAGGUAAGGGAACUUCACAUCUAGGUUCAUGUUUAUGGUUAUAUGUUUUUUUUUUCCUCUUGUGUUUUAUUACUUUUGAUGCAGCCAAGAAAGAAAAAGUUAUUCAAGUCUUACCAGAGAGAUAUCCACACAAACAUGUAGAUGAUCUGUUGAAAUCACCUAUACAGAAAUCGGAGCCCAAGUUUGAUACUAACAACAAGGCGUUUACUGGAUCGAUCGUAGAGCACGCCCAUAAUCUACAAACCAACACACACGGCCUAAUGCAGCCUUCAGGGUCUCAGCCAUCAAAACCAGUUUCAAGAUUCAAGGCACAAAGAAAAUAGCCAGUUAGGGUCUAUGUACAAUUUUGUUUGUGGUACCGUCCAGCUACAACCAAAAUAUUCCCUUGGUGAACUCCUAAACGCAUAGCGAAACCUAACUCUAUAUAUAUAUAUGUUAGUUUGUGAAAUAAUUAUAGAGAUUUACUAACCAAUUUUUUUAGAAAAACGGAAUCCGAAACAAAGAUAAUUAAGAAUCAACAACAAACCAGCGGGAAGUGAGGAUCAAUGGCAGCCAUAGCGAUGGAAGAGGUGACGAAAACCUGGCGAUGGAAAAUUAAAAUGAUAUUGAUCUUGUGAUCGAUCGGUAGAGAUUUGUAACAAAUAAAACUAACUUUAACAUAUACUAGAUCUCGAUCCGCGCGGGUGUUUAUUUUCAUUUAUAUUUAUAUAAUUUUUUAUUUUA